AUUCGUUAGUAGAUGCGCGAAGGCAAUAUUUUCAACACUCGAGUCUCCCUUACAGGUAUUAGGGUUUAUUUCAGUUAAAGGGGAAAACGACGACGAAGAUAAAGACGUAAAAGAACCUAAAUCUUUUGCUAUUUCGGUAGUUACUCACUCGAUUUUGCCUAAUUGUGGGAGGAAUUUGAUGCGAAUUGGUCCAAUUUGAGCUCUACGGAUCUCUUCUGUAUCAAGCAAGGUGAUGAUGGUAUAUCCUCAUACAAGAUAUUGAUUGAUGGAUCCUGAAAGCAAGAAGUUUGGAAAAGGGCCAAGGGAACUUACGGGUGCUGUGGAUCUUAUAAGUUACUAUAAGUUGUUGCCUCACCAUGAGUUCUUCUGCAAGAAAUCACUUCCUUUGUCGAUUUCGGAUACACAUUACCUGCAUAAUGUUCCUGGAGACUCAGAAAUUAGGAAAGGCGAAGGGAUGCAGUUGGAUCAGCUCAUUCAGAAUACAUCCUUCCCAAGAGAGACAAAUUCACGCAUACAACCAUUUGACCUGGACAUCCUGAGGGAAGCAUUUCAGUUGAGGGAGACUGCUCCUGUUGACCUUCCAUCUUCAGAGAAGGGAAUUCCCACCAUAGCCGGAAAAUCUAAAAGCGAAGCGAAAGACAAGGAAAGGAAGCACAAAAAGCACAAGGACAAAGACAGGGAUAAAGAUAAAGAGCAUAAGAAACACAAACAUCGUCAUAAAGAUCGAAGUAAAGAAAAGGAUAAGGAGAAAAAGAAGGAUAAAAGCAGUCAUCAUGAUUCUGGUGCUGAACCCUCAAAGAAACACCAUGAGAAGAAGCGGAAGCAUGAUGGAGAUGAAGAUCUCAAUGAUAUUCACAGGCACAAGAAAAGUAAGCAUAAAAGCUCAAAGAUCGAUGAAAUGGGUGCAAUAAAGGUAGCAGCUUGAAAGUGGCAUGUGAUCUAUAUUAUUGUUUGUCCUCGAUGUUGCAAAUGAAAAUUCGAGAGGUCCUUACUUAGUGUAGUCAAAUUAAUUGAGAAAUGUAUAAAAUUGUAACAAGUACUAUUAUGUGGAACUCUACUUGUUCGUGGGGUUUAUUAAUCUUUUCACUAAACAAAAAUGGAUCUGCAUGUUGUAAGUGAUUCUGUGGUUGGGUUCCUGAAUUUCCUGUAAGAUGAAGCACAUCUUUUAAAAUAUACAAAAAUUGAACAUUGUAAUUGUUCUUUCGCCCAGAUCUUUUAUCUUGAUCUGCAUGCUCAUUUGCUUUUAUUUUUCUUGGCUUUUUAUUCUUUUAUGUAAAUGUAUUUUGCUAAAAGUAAAACUGAACAACACCUUUUGGAUUAGUUGGUACUAAUUAGUUGAUUAAUUUCAGUACAUGAUAUAUCGUAUCAACCAAUUCUAAAGGUAGUAUUUUUUAUAAAUUCAUAUCUGCUUUGGAAAUUAAAACCCUCUAUUGCGUUGGGUGCUGUAUUAUAAAUUAUAUGUUCCAUCACAAAAGUUCAGGCACUUGCUUUAGAGACUUGUAUUAACGACUGUGUGGCACUGAUUUUGUCAGUGAAGUAUACAUUUUUAUUAAAAAGUUGAGGCGUUGUGUUUUAGAAACUGGUACAAUACAUGUAUAAUAAAUGCAUUUGUAGUUUGUGCACUUGUACUGUACAAAUGAUCGAUUUGCUUAUUAUUGAAUAUUCAAAGGUUCUAAUGUUAGAUCGACAAGGUCCAUUAAAUGGGUCUGUUUGUUAACAGGCUUAGGCCAAUAUAUAUAGUGGGUUUUAUAAAAAUCUUCCCAUGCGUUCAAACCUCCAUGGGUGAGUCUGUUCUAAGACCAUGCAUAAAGCUAGUAUUAAUCUUUCUAAAGUCUGCCGUUGGUAUGGUUGCAUGUAGAUGUUGGAUAUCUUUUGCAGAAUAUGUACAAUAAUUUAGAUUCUUGUGAAUAGCUUCCCUCUUGGCCUGUAGGAUGUUUGGUGCAAUCUGAACUUUGAAGUGAUCAAACUAUCCAGCUACUAAAAUAGGCUUGUAUUUACAUCAGUUAGUUAACGUAGCAUAUGCCUUUUUCGGGGAAGUCAAUUGACCAGCUGUAUCUUGUCUAUCAGGCCUGGACAUUGACAGUUGGUUUGAUCACCUGUGUGGGACUAGGUUUUUGAAUACAAUUUUUUGUAUAAGAUGCACAAAAAUAGAAAUAAUGUCGCCUGUCUUGCAUCUCUUAUGACACAUAAUAUUAUCAAUCAUACG